AAGAAAGUGUCAGAGCGGUUAUGUGGUUGGCUUGAAACCAACUUAUGGGGGUUCAACUCCUCCCUUUCUCG
rnacentral:tRNA from 1 species